AACGAACGCUGGCGGCAUGCCUAACACAUGCAAGUCGAACGAGACCUUCGGGUCUAGUGGCGCACGGGUGCGUAACGCGUGGGAACCUGCCCUUAGGUUCGGAAUAACUCCCCGAAAGGGGUGCUAAUACCGGAUAAUGUCUUCGGACCAAAGAUUUAUCGCCUUUGGAUGGGCCCGCGUUGGAUUAGCUAGUUGGUAGGGUAAAAGCCUACCAAGGCGACGAUCCAUAGCUGGUCUGAGAGGAUGAUCAGCCACACUGGGGCUGAGACACGGCCCAGACUCCUACGGGAGGCAGCAGUGGGGAAUAUUGGACAAUGGGCGAAAGCCUGAUCCAGCAAUGCCGCGUGAGUGAUGAAGGCCUUAGGGUUGUAAAGCUCUUUUACCCGGGAUGAUAAUGACAGUACCGGGAGAAUAAGCUCCGGCUAACUCCCUG
rnacentral:rRNA from 1 species